CUGGGAUUGUACACUAAAUAAACAAGAGGUUACCAGCCAAGGAACUGUCUGAACAACACCCCUAAUAGCACCCAGAUCAGCUUAUUAAAUAUGGGACCAAGAAAAUCACUAUGGAAGUCUUCCUCAGAACAUGAAGUAAUAUCAAGAAAAUCACUGCCAGCCAUGCAGGAAAUGGAAUCACUGUGCUGGCUGACAUUCAAACCCAAACUGGUGU